ACCGGGGGAGCCGGCCAGGAGGCAGAGGCGGGGCGCAAAGAGGAAGCCAGGCAGGGGGAAGGAGGAACAAAGGCAGACGGGGAAACGGCGAAGGGCGCAGGAAAGCAGGGAGAGGGGGGGGAGGGGAGCGACGACGCGGAGAACCGAGGAAGGCGAGAGCGAAGACGGGCAACAAACCCCGACGGCGGGAAGGGAGGCAGGGAGAGAAAAAGGGCGACGCGGGCGCGGCCCGGGGCGGCGAGGAGGCAGGAGAACGCGACGGAGCGCACGGCCAGCGGGCCGGCGACGCAGCAGGCAAAGGGCGGCCCGAGCAACGGGCGAGGGAGGAGAGGGCCGACCAGGGGGGACGGGGACGGAGAAGGAGGGGCGAGGCCGGAGAGGGAGCCGGAGAAACGGCGACCACAGCCAAGGAAGGCAGCAGGCGCGCAAAGGACCCAAGCCGGACACGGGGAGGAGGGACAAGAAAGAACAAGACCGGGCGCGAGGAGGCGGGGAAGGGGAAGGAGGACAAGCGAAAGCCCGGAACGAGGAGCCAGGGGAGGGCAAGGCGGGGCCAGCAGCCGCGGGAAGGCCAGCGCCAAGAGCGGAGAGGGAAGGGGGGCAGGGAAAAAGCGCGGAGGGGACGGGAGGGGCCGGCCGGGCCGCCCGAGGGGGCACCGGGCGGCGCGGCCCGGCGGGCGGCGAGGCGCGCCGGGCCGGAAGGGGCCGGGGCGGGCCGCCGGCGCGGGACGGGGAAGAAAGGAGAGGGCGCAAAGCAAGCCGACGCGCGGGAGACAGGAGCAGGGGAGAACAGGAGAGGAGGGCGGCCGAGGACGGGGGCCGGCGGGAGCGGAGGAAGGAGGAACAGGGACAGGCGGGGGCAGGCGAGGGCAGAGGCAGAGGGGAAAAGCGGGGAGGGAGGAAAGACGAACAACGGCGAAAGCAGGGGCCAAGGAGGGCAGGAAGCAAGAACGAAAGGGGGGGCGCGAAGACGAGCAGAGACCGGCCGAGGCGCAACCAGAAACGAGGCCGACCAGGGAGCGGCGGAGGGGCGGGGAGGACGCCGCCGGCACCGGAGGAGAAAGCAAAGGGGGGGGGCCGGGGAGGAGGGGCGCAAGGCGGAAACGGAAAGGAAGGGACGGAAGGGCACCACCAGGAGGGGAGCCGGCGGCGGAAGGGGACGCAACACGGGGAAACGGACCAGGGCCAGACAGAGGAAGGAGGGACAGACGGAGAGCGCGGGCGGGAGGCGAGGGGGGGGGCAGGGCCGGGCGGAGGGGGGAGCGAGGGGCGGGGAAGGCCGGGAACGAACGAGACCGCAGCCGGCGAACGAGCGAGGCGGAGGGAGCCCGGCGCGGCCAGCGGCGGAGAGGGACGACGGCCGGGGAGGCCGCGGAAGGGGGAGGCAAGAACAGGGCGGGGAGGCCCGGAGAGGGGCGGGGCCGCACGCGCGCGACACGGAGGGAGGCAACGAGCGGAGAGCCGGGCCGACAGGCCCGGGGGAAGCGGGGAAAGGGCAGCGGGAGGGGGAGAGAGCAGGGCAAGGGGGGCGGCAACGAGGAAGGCCGAGGAAGCGCGAGGCAGCAGCGCGCGGGGACGACGGCCCGGCCCGGGGACACACCGCCCGGCGCGCCGACCGAGGGAAGGAGCCGGGGAAAGGGGCGGAGCGCGGCGACGGGGCGGGGCGCGGCCCGCGACGGCGCGAGAAGGCCAGGGAACCGGAGCAGGGAGAGGAAGGAGAAGGCGGAACAAGGGGCCGGAGGGGAACCGGCGGAAG
rnacentral:rRNA from 1 species